rnacentral:tRNA from 1 species
CGGGGCGUAGCUCAGCGGUAGAGCGCCGUAACAGGGACCCGACCGACGGGGUGCCUUCCUUCGCCUACGGAGCCGGAGGUCGCGGGUUCGAAUCCCGCCGUCCCGA